GCCCGACUGAUCGCGCGAGCCGUCGCCGGAGCGCCGCGAAUACUAGCGCCUCCACGACGGCUCACGAUGCGAUGCUGCCCCUAUACCCUAACUCGUUUUGCGCCCACGAUGCUGCACUGCGCUCCGUCAUCAGUCCCAACGUAAUGAUUGUAAAUAUUAUUAAUACUAGAUGUCAACCCUCCGAUUGUAGUUUUCUUUUUGAGCAUUGACAUUUUGAAUUAAUUCAAAGAUUUGUAAAUAUUACAUUCACUCGUUAUAUCCAUUUGAUGUUGAUUGAUGUUAGUAUGAGGGCAGGACCCGCGUAUUGCCGGAAACACCAUUAUAUAGGAAGUAGAAGAGGAGCUUAUAGAAGAUUGCUUCGAUUCUUAAAACUACUCUCGCGUCAGACGUAAACUUUGAAUCGCUCAUAAAUGAAGUACUUGCCCAUAGAUACUUUGCCGAGUACUACUGAUCAAUACUGAUCAUUGCGUAAUGAAAAGCCUUUUACGAGCGAUUUAUGUUUACGUCUACCUAUGUAUUUAACUGUAGCGAUUUUGUAUGUUGUGUAAUGUAUAUUUAUGUAAGAAUAAGUAUUGCGUAUUAGGCAGAAAAAAUUGUACUCUACUCUUCAAAAUUUUGUAGCCGAAAAUAUUACAUAAAUAACUUUUUUACAUUUAAUAGACAUUUGUAACAUUUUGUUGGUAGCUAUUUACUUUUAAUUAUAUAAUAUUUAUAGAUAACCUUGAGUUUCAUAAGUUACUCAUUCACUACAUUUGCCAUAUUUAUAGCAUUUACUCGUACCUAGUUUGUCGUUUUGAGACAAUUUCAAUAGUAGUGAACUUGUAUACAUUCCUAACGUAACUAACUAGGGUAUUUGUACCGACUCUAUAAAUAACACUUAAGAUAUAUUUCGUCUCAAAAUAACCCCAACUUUGACACUUUGCCUUAUAUGAUUAAUAAACUUCUAAAGAUAUUCUAGUGAGUAAGUGCAUCUAGGUACUAUUCUUCCAAGGUUGUGCUUUAGUGAAUUUCCCCUAACGUAUACCCACUAAUUCUUUUGUAUACAUACAUCGCAUAAAUUCUCCCAUGUCAUGGGAAUUCCUUCCUUUCAUGUAGCUCUUUAUAAACUGUACAUAAUAUGGUAAUGUUAUUUUUCAAAAUAUUCUACGCACAACUACCUUCGUAAUAGCGGUAUUAUAAUUAAAACUUUUUAUAAUCUGUAGACACAUGAAUGUUCACUCUCUGACAAAUACAAUAUUUGAUAGUAUUCCGAUUAUAGACAUGUAAUAGAUAAAUAAGUUACUUGAAUACAAUAGGAUACUCAUUGAUGUGUUUAGUUAUCUAAAUAUUGCAUUGAAACACUCAGUCACAGCAGAACUUGUAUACCUUCAGUAGAAGAUCAUAGAAUAGACGGCCGAGAGCGCGCCCGCCGGCCUACGUAGCUCACAUGUAGCAUACAAUUUCGAACUUAAGUAGAUUAAAUAAUAUUUGUGGAAUGAAUGAUAUUUUGACUGUCGAUGUUUAGAUACAAAUUACAUAUCUUACGCAAUUGUAUUGUAAUAUAAUGCCUCAUCAAAAUCUGUGUUCUUCCAAUCGCUCUCAUAGCUUAGUGGCUCACCUGACAAUACUUCACUCGUCGACCACUCGCUCGCUCGCGUCACCUGCACUAGUGCGUCGCUCGAGCGACUCUAGUAGAUCAUUUCAAAUGGUUGUAUAUUUCCUAAGAGAGAGAAAUUUUAAUACUUAUCUAAAUCUAUAAUAUUCCAUUAUUAGAUUUUACAAUUAUAUUAAAAUACUCAUAUUUUCCAAUGCCAAAAUAUAUAUCUGGUGUUGAGUGUACUUUUACACUAUAAUUUUUAUUUAUUACGUUGAAAACAAAUUAUACAUAAUAAAUUCAAGUAUAUAUUUAUCAAUGAAUUCUAUUAUAGAUAUUUGAUAAUGUAAAAUAUGACAUUUCCAACCGAACGGUGGAAAUUGUCUAACUUACGCUUAUUAUCUUGAUAUAUUAGUAUAAAACAAAAAUAAUAUUCUUACGUAAGUGACAAAUGUAAAUCCAUUUAUUACUCGUAUAUUAACAUAUUGUGCCUCGAUGACCCCCGAUACCGCUAACUACCCACGCAGCCUUCAUCCACUCCGACUCGCGAGUCUCUCACUGUCAUUCACACGCAUACCUACUCUUUACACAUAUCUGAAUUCGAUUCAAAUUAAUAUUUAUCUGUACGAAGCAGACAUUUAUAAACAUAUCGGUGUCUGUAGCAGUAUGAUAUACGACUUAGCCUACACAUAUCUGUCGUCGGUGACCGCUGAGCGUCCCGCGCCUACGAACCUUCACUCUGUAGCGUGAAUGACGAAUCAAUGUGAUAAUGGUAUCGGAUAUCAUAAUAUGUACCUAAAUUUUCUUACCUUAGUGUUACUAACGUCGUUUCUUCCUAGUUACAAAUUUGUAAAUUUCCUUUUAUUGGUGAAUACUGAGAAAGUAACGAUAUCUUUACCUUGCAAUAAAAUAUUCAAUAGUAUCAGAAUAUAUUUUUAGAAUCGUAUCAGCAAUUUGUGGAUAAUCCAAUAAAUACUGAACAUAAACAUAUUUUUCCUAUCCAAUAAUCUAUAGAAAUAUAUUUUAAAGAUAUAGUCUUGGUAUUUGUCAAUAAAAUGGAGUAGAACUCUACAAAUCCUAGUACGUAAAAAAUGUCUGUGUCAAAGUAUAUUAUUAAAUAAAUGUGAUAAUAAAUGAGUUUAUUAUAGCGAUACUAACAUUCA